rnacentral:lncRNA from 1 species
CGCGCGGCUCCAGGUGGCGGGAGGCGGCGGUUGGCGGGAAGGGCCGCGCGGGCCCGGGGGCGGCGCCUCAGAUGCGCUCUUUCCAGAAAGGCAGCACACGCAUGUCUCUGCCGUGGCCCCAGAUCCUCCCCGCGCCGCCGUUUUGAGCGUUCACACUCAUUACCCAGGUCCGUCUGGGAGACCCGCCGGGCUCCCGCCCUCCCGGCCCGCAGCCUCCUGGCCAAAAUCCUCCCGGGACACCCCACCUGGACUGCUGCGAACGGGCCUCCACCCGCCUCCCCGGACCCGCAGCGCCCCCCGCUCCCUCAGGGUUCUGGGGUGAAGGGGUCUGAAUAGCACCAGGGGAGGCGGCAGGGCGGGCCUGUCCUACCUGCGCCCGAGCACUGCUGAGACGACAUCCCUUCCAGCGCCGCCACGUAGUCCAGCCCCAGCCAGCCGCGGUCCUGGAAGCACCGCAGGCAGACGACCUGCUCCUCACUGGGCUCAGGCAGGGUCACCCGCCCAGUGCCGCUAGCUGCAAAUUGCUUUACAUACAGUGACCCAAAGAGCAAGUCAUUUCAGGGCCCCACCACUCUGAUUGGAAGUCAUAAGCUUGACAACUGAUUGGCCUCUGUCACCCAAGCGGGUGUGGGGACACUAGGCCCGCAGGUGCCACUGGAAGAGGCGUUCAGAAGCACUGCGGUGCUCCAGCUCCUGGAUGCAGAAAGACCCAGAAAUGAGGGAUGGUGUGGGUGGGAUUCCUGAGCGUUCUGCUAGGCCUGCUGAGCACUUCUUGGCCUUUUCCAUAAGGCUUUCUCACUCUGUCUUACAGAUAUCUCCCCACAAACCUAAACAAUUUCGAGAGGGACUUGUGUUCUGCAACCAGUCACAGAAUAUCAGGUGAGCUGGGCGUGUCUUCACUGACCCACCCGCCCAGGGAUGCUGCACUCCUCUCCACCCUGCUCAGAAUCACUAGAAUGACCGUUCUGUGGCUACAGCCCUAAAAGAGCUACUAAAAAGACCAGAAGUAGUAUGAGAACUUAUGAAUACGAAUAUAAAUAAAGGACAUCUGGAGAACAUGCAUGAAUGUCUAUGUAAAGUGUUAAGUACUGAUCAAGGAGGAACGAAGGAGUCAGGUGGCUCUCAGUCUUUUUGGAGGGACUCGCAGAUCCUCCUGAAGAUCUGAUGAAAGCUGUCAGCCUUCUCCCCAGAAAAAUGCACAUCCACCCAGGAUUCUUCUCCCACAUUACUUCAGAGGACUUAGCAACCCCCUAGGGAAGCCCAGGGACCCAGAGUAAAGCACUCCUGGGAUAGAGGGGUUCUGUGGGGAAGAUGACAGGAAGGAACAUGCGUCAGUUCACAAUGUCAAAGUUUAGGAACAGGCCUGGCGAGCCAGCCAGCUCUGCAGUUCUGUGGUGCUGGUGGGUGUGGAGAAGGCAAUUUCAGCAUAAGUCGGGGGAGGGGGAGUGGUUAGAAACCAGUGGCUCCAUUGUGAGACAACCUGGGUUUAAAUUCUAGGUAUAUU